rnacentral:SRP_RNA from 1 species
GCCGGGUGUGGUGGCACACGCCUGUAAUCCCAGCAACUCAGGAGGCUGAGGCAGGAGAAUUGCUUGAACCCAGGAGGCAGAGGUUGCAGUGAGCCAAGAUUGUGCCACUGCACUCCAGCCUGGGUGACAGAGCGAGACUCCGUCUCAA